UCAGGCCUAACACAUGCAAGUCGAACGAACCCUUCGGGGUUAGUGGCGCACGGGUGCGUAACGCGUGGGGAUCUGCCCUUUGCUUCGGAUUAACAGUUAGAAAUGACUGCUAAUACCGGAUGAUGUCGCAAGACCAAAGAUUUAUCGGCAAAGGAUGAACCCGCGUAGGAUUAGCUAGUUGGUGGGGUAAAGGCCUACCAAGGCGACGAUCCUUAGCUGGUCUGAGAGGAUGAUCAGCCACACUGGGACUGAGACACGGCCCAGACUCCUACGGGAGGCAGCAGUGGGGAAUAUUGGACAAUGGGCGCAAGCCUGAUCCAGCAAUGCCGCGGAGUAAAGGAGGCCUUCGGGUUGUAAAGCUCUUUACCAGGGAUGAUA
rnacentral:rRNA from 1 species